CACGGAGCUUCCUGAAACAAUUGAGUUCACAGAAAACAGAAAAACCUUGUUGCCACUGCACAAUGAGACAUUUGCUGCUAUCUGGGAGAUACCUGAUGAGGGCAAACUUGAGGCAGGUAGGAACAGUGACCCAUUCCAGAGGGAUGUUCAACAGGAUGUUUAACACUGCAUACAGCCGCCCCCUCCAGUGUUUCAGAAGUAGAGGAACCCUGUCUGUGCCAGCAACUUUGUUGGGUUUGACGUGGCUUAGGGGCCGUUUCAUUUCAUGGGUCCCUGUCACCAGUGCAGAUGAUGGAGAGAAAAAGGAGUCAUC